AAAGAGAUUUUACCUAAGCCAGUUGAGAGAAACGGCAAUGGCACUUUCGUGGCAAUGUUCGAGGUCAAUCUUGGGGUUUAAUAUUUCAUAUUUGGGGCUUAUUUAGAUGAGGAUAAAUGGCAUCAAUAUACUAAAGGAGAUGGUGCACAAUCUUGAUGCAAAAAGAAGAUAGAUAUGGUAAAAUAUGAGGUGUAAACGACGAC
rnacentral:lncRNA from 1 species